rnacentral:rRNA from 1 species
AGUGAACGCUGGCGGUAGGCCUAACACAUGCAAGUCGAACGGCAGCACAGUAAGAGCUUGCUCUUACGGGUGGCGAGUGGCGGACGGGUGAGGAAUACAUCGGAAUCUACUUUUUCGUGGGGGAUAACGUAGGGAAACUUACGCUAAUACCGCAUACGACCUACGGGUGAAAGCAGGGGAUCUUCGGACCUUUCGCGAUUGAAUGAGCCGAUGUCGGAUUAGCUAGUUGGCGGGGUAAAGGCCCACCAAGGCGACGAUCCGUAGCUGGUCUGAGAGGAUGAUCAGCCACACUGGAACUGAGACACGGUCCAGACUCCUACGGGAGGCAGCAGUGGGGAAUAUUGGACAAUGGGCGCAAGCCUGAUCCAGCAAUACCGCGUGGGUGAAGAAGGCAUUCGGGUUGUAAAGCCAUUUUGUUGGGAAAGAAAAGCAGCAGGUUAAUACCCCGCUGUUAUGACGGUACCCAAAGAAUAAGCACCGGCUAACUUCGUG